CAGGUAUAUGAUCUUGCUUUAGUUAUAGGUUCUUGCCGAUUAAGAGUGACUUGUUUCAUGCAAGACACAAGCAUCGUUUAAGUUGUACAAUUUACUUUGUUGGCACUAUGUUGUCUGAUUUUUUUUUAGCCUCACGCGACGCAUGAUAAAACUCCAGGCGACUCCCCUAACUUGUGCUUUGCUGGUUGUAGUUUUUUCAUGUUGUUCUGCCUCUUGUCGGUAGACGGCACUCGUGUCACGCAGCAGGACGACGCACACGCGCGCACGCACACAGGCUGCUGACUGACACGCAGAACAAGUGGAAGUCGGUUUUGGCCGCGCACAAACUUUUGAGGGCAGGGGGAAAAAAACAUAUGACUGCAUUAUUUCCAUGGAAGUGUGUGCAAGGCUGGCUUCACGUCGUGAUAAUUGGGUCUCGAGCUCGGUUUGAUCCGGAACAUAAGAGAAGCAGGUGUAUGUGGCUUUUCAUUCACUAAUUGGCUGACGCACUGUCAUCCUGAAAUCAAUGAGCUUUGCCUUUACUCUAUCGCACACUUUAUCUUAAAAUAUGCUUCACCUUUAUUUCUCAUCCACUUGUAAACCCCGGUAUGCCGUGUGCAACCCCCCCUUCCAGCCCCCCCACCCCCAAAGCUCCAACAACAACAGCAGCACUGUGGCAGUGGAAGUGGAGUGGAGUUGUGUCUUUGUCCGGACAGAUGUAGCGACAACAUCCCAAACAAAAAGCGCUUACUUGUGCUGAGAUGAGCCCGUCUGCCUUCUGUGUGUUGGCAUUCAACUUCACUAAACAAAAGGGCUGCACGGGGAAACAUCUUGGAUUACCUUUAAGUCUCUUUUCAAAGUUAACAAAAAUUUAAAAAAAAAGGAAAAAAAAAACAAAAAACAAGCAGCACCCUCCCCAUGACACACUUUGAGUUAACUAAAUUUAUUUAGGUGUUGCUAUAUUUUGUAGGCGUAAGCGUAGCCCCGUUUUUAUUUAUUUGUUUAUUUUUAUAUUUGUAUAUGUUAUGUAAAACACUUUUUGCCGCCUGACACUAUUAUCUUAACUUUUUGUUGCCUUUUUUAUCCCGGAUUUUUAUGCUUUAAAAGCAUAUAGCUCUGACUCCCUUUUCAUCAUUCUGUUAAAUGAAUUUAUUGAUUUUUAAAAUGAAUAUUUAUCGUUUGUUUUUCUACUUUUCACCCAAAAACGUUUUUCAGAUGUGGCUGAAAAAUAUGCGCGAAAGGCCAAUGUUCAACAAAAAUACACAGGAAAACAACUAAUAUAACUCUGAUUUAUAGACUGAUAUAAUGUUGCAACAGUGCCUACACAUAUAAAUGUUACAUGAACUAUCAUCAUGCACCUAGAAAUAGUAAAUAUGUACUUUGUAUUGGCUCACCCGGGCAGCCUGAAUGUGCGCGCAUGUAUAGUGUUUCUCCGAGUAGGGCAAGCCACGCCUCUUUAUGCUAAACAAAGCCUCCUAUUGGUCUGUCGGGGGAGCAAAGUAGCUGUGAUUGGCCAGGUCGAGGCCAUUUAUUUGCUGACAGCCGCGUCACUUGAAUGGUUGUCUAUUAACUUGUUCCCAAACUAUCUGGACUUGUCAAGGCUCGGGCGGACAGGGGAGAAAAAGUACAGUUUGUUUAUGCCCUUUUUGGAGAAGCGACGAGAGAAUAAGUUUUGAGGACACAACAUCGCAGUAACCUUUUGGGAGAAGGCUCUCUGUGUGUGGCACUCAAAUACACACACGCACACACACGCAAGUCAGCGCUCACCGAGCCGGAGAGAGGGAGAGGCAGUGGAAGCUCGCCUUGUUUUUGUCGUGCAGAGAAAAGUUGCUGAGUGAAUCGACAGGUAACUUUUUUGUUGUUGUUUGAUUGGCUAGCGCCAACUCUCCUUGUCCCGUUUGGACUUGGUGUUCACAUUUCACCUGCUCGGGAGCGCCGACUAAAUAGCCGUUCCUGAUGUAUAACAUGAUGGAGACUGAACUGAAGCCCCCAGCUCCCCAGACCAACACGGGGGGCACGGGCAACACCAACACGUCCGGCCCCAACGCGAAAAACAGCCCGGAGCGGGUCAAGCGACCCAUGAACGCUUUCAUGGUGUGGUCCCGGGGCCAGAGGAGGAAGAUGGCGCAAGAGAACCCCAAAAUGCACAACUCGGAGAUAAGCAAAAGACUGGGCGCCGAGUGGAAACUUCUGUCGGAAAGCGAGAAGAGACCUUUCAUCGACGAAGCUAAGAGGUUGCGGGCCCUGCACAUGAAGGAGCAUCCUGACUACAAGUACCGACCCCGGCGGAAGACCAAGACUCUCAUGAAGAAGGACAAGUACACCUUGCCUGGCGGGCUGCUGGCCCCGGGCGGCAACGGGAUGGGAGCCGGGGUUGGCGUGGGCGGCGGCCUUGGCGGCGGCCUGGGCGGUGGGGUGAACCAGCGCAUGGACACUUACGCCGCUCACAUGAACGGCUGGACCAACGGCGGCUACGGCAUGAUGCAGGAGCAGCUGAGCUACCAGCACCCAGGACUGAACGCGCACAACCCCAGCCAGAUGCAGUCCAUGCACCGCUACGACAUGAGCGCCCUACAGUACAACACCAUGACCAGCUCGCAGAGUUAUAUGAACGGCUCCCCCACCUAUUCCAUGUCCUAUUCCCAGCAAACGACACCGGGCAUGACCGCUCUAGGCUCCAUGGGGCCCUCGUCGGUGGUCAAAUCCGAAUCGAGCAGCUCCAGCCCGCCUAUCGUCACCUCGUCCUCCCACCGGGCCGCCCCGGGCUGCCAAAGCGGGGAUCUGAGAGACAUGAUCAGCAUGUACCUGCCCGGAGCGGAGGUCAGCGAGCAGACUGCCCAGACCAGACUACACAUGUCCGGCCACUACCAGAGCACCGUGCCCGGGACGACGAUCAACGGCACGCUGCCAUUGACACACAUGAAGCUCUAGAGGAACGAAUGCAGGAGGUGGCCUCUUCACUGCUGGAUCAAGUUUGGACGACGAAAGUGGGAGUCGCAAUCAAAUGUUUUAUUAUUGCAAUCAUCUUUUGUACAGUAUUUAUCAAAGAAACAUUACAAUCAGAUGAAAUUGUAAAACUGCAAGAGGUUGCAUCGUUUUUUUUCUCUCUUAUAUAUAAAUACACAUAUAAAAACAAAGCCAGUUGAGUAGAAAAUAUUAGAACGAUGACAGAACUAUUGGAGCGAUCAGUUAUGUUCAAAAUAAACUUUGGAAGGAAAGGGACAGAAAACGAAACAGGUAAUGCUGUUUUAUUUUUCUUUUGAUAUAGAUCAAUAUUACUAAAUCGUUUUAAUUUCGUUAACGAAAAAAUAUGACUUUUCCCCCCAGCUCUUUUUUUUUUUUAAUCUUAAAGUUAAUUUAUAUUCCAGUCUCCCACUUUUCAUCUGUUUGAGGUAUGAUGCUUGUGCUCUUUAUUUUCUAAUUGAUUUGUACAAUUUCUGUAUAUUUACUGUGAUAUUUUAUGUUUUUAUCUCAAAAUUCAUUCCUGUAGUUGUAUUUUAAAAAUUGCGGCCUGUACGCAGAAGCCAACCACUCCGUGUAUAUACUGAAACUAAUACCAUCCUUAUAACAGCUACGAUUUCAACUGAGUAUAUUUUUUUCCAUAUGCAGUUUGAAAAGAAUAAAUUUUGGAAAUUUGGAUACUUGAAAUGGUUUGAGUUUUGAUUUCAAUUGGCGUGCCUUUAUUUUGUGUCAUCACGUGUCGAGUUAAGUGGAAAAUGGAAAUUUAUUUUAAUACAUUUAGAGCGCAGUGCUACUAGUUUCCCUUAAAAAUUCAAAUUAGUGGCUUUUGUGCUUUUGUGGUUAACCACGUUUCUGUUUUCUAGUGACUGUGCAGGAUGCCCCCUUCAAGUCCCACCAAGCGAAAGUUUGUUAGGAAGAUUAAAACAACAAAAUGACCAAGACCUUCAGGCUCCGGUCCCGGGGGAUCGCAGCUCACAUUAACCGGCAGAUGAAUAUUUGAAGAGGCCCCUCGGUCCACUCCCCUCUCUGUACGUCUAGUCUCCCUCCCAGCCGGGACUAUAAAAGGUCAAGGGAUCGUUGGUCGCUUCAUUAUUUAUUGAUCCAAGACGCGGAAUUGUUUGUAAUAGCCGAGGACACCGGUGAUAAACAAUUUGUGUCUAAAAGGCUGAACUAGAAAGCCUAUUAAAGUGGCUCCCGUUUCCUUCCCCCCACUCUUUGUACCAACAUCGGGUCCCUGCGUGGUGGCCCCGAGGACAGAAUAAAUUAUGUUGUCACCUUUGAUGUGGCGAAAAGGGGUUUUGUGAAAUUAUGCAACGUACUUUAUACCUUUCAUUUAUUUAACCCUCAUUUUAGAUUUGCUACAGGAUCAAAAAACGCGGGGUAAUUUGGAUUAUUACAACAGGCCAAGACAAAGCUUGUCUGACAUUUAUCUCGUUCUUAUUAAAUUGGUGUUCUUCGGCUGUGGGGGAGGUGCCAGUAUAAUUGUGAUUUCGAGAAAAAAAAACCAUGAAUGUC